UACGGGAGGCAGCAGUGGGGAAUAUUGCACAAUGGGCGAAAGCCUGAUGCAGCUAUGCCGCGUGUAUGAAGAAGGCCUUAGGGUUGUAAAGUACUUUCAUCGGGGAGGAAAAAACAAAACUAAUAAUUUUAUUUCUUGACGUUACCCGAAAAAGAAGCACCGGCUAACUCCGUGCCAGCAGCCGCGGUAAUACGGAGGGUGCUAGCGUUAAUCAGAAUUACUGGGCGUAAAGAGCACGUAGGUGGUUUUUUUAAAGUCAGAUGUGAAAUCCCUGGGCUUAACCUAGGAACUGCAUUUUGAAACUGAAAUACUAGAGUAUCGUAGAGGGAGGUAGAAUUCUAGGUGUAGCGGUGAAAUGCGUAGAUAUCUGGAGGAAUACCUGUGGCGAAAGCGGCCUCCUAAACGAAUACUGACACUGAGGGUGCGAAAGCGUGGGGAGCAAACGAGGAUUAGAUACCCGU
rnacentral:rRNA from 1 species